rnacentral:tRNA from 1 species
GGGGUGUAUAGCUCAGUUGGUAGAGCAUUGGGCUUUUAACCUAAUGGUCGCAGGUUCAAGUCCUGCUAUACCCAAACCUAACUUGCACUAUACUAUGAGUAAGGAUGCGUAGUAGCGC